AUUGAACGCUGGCGGCAGGCCUAACACAUGCAAGUCGAGCGAGCGGCGGACGGGUGAGUAAUGUAUGGGGACUGCCCGAUAGAGGGGGAUAACUACUGGAAACGGUGGCUAAUACCGCAUACUAUCGGAUAACCCAUAUGGGAUUAGCUAGUAGGUGGGGUAAAGGCUCACCUAGGCGACGAUCGCUAGCUGGUCUGAGAGGAUGAUCGGCCACCAUGGGACUGAGACACGGACCAGACUCCUACGGAGGCAGCAGGGGGGAAUAUUGGACAAUGGGCGCAAGCCUGAUGCAGCCAUGCCGGGUAUAUGAAAAAGGCCUUAGGGUUAUAAAGUACUUUCAGCGGGGAGGCGUAACCCACAGAGGAAACACCGGCUAACUCCGUGCCAGCAGCCGGGGUAAAAA
rnacentral:rRNA from 1 species